CUGGCUGCUUCCCAUUUGACAACGCUGCUUAUGGGUGGCAGCCAGGGCCGCCGCCUGCCAUGAGGUAAGGAGAGCUGGGAGAGCAUUGUGUGGCAGCUUAGCCGGCCAGCUGAGCCUGGGGAUGUUGGGGAGGGCAGCUAGGUAGGCUGAGCAAGGGCC